AUUGAACGCUGGCGGCAGGCCUAACACAUGCAAGUCGAACGAGUGGCGGACGGGUGAGUAAUGUCUGGGAAACUGCCCGAUGGAGGGGGAUAACUACUGGAAACGGUAGCUAAUACCGCAUACCAUCGGAUGUGCCCAGUUGGGAUUCGCUAGUAGGUGGGGUAACGGCACACCUAGGCGACGAUCCCUAUCUGGUCUGAGAGGAUGACCAGCCACUGGGGAACUGAGUCACGGUCCAGAGUCCUACGUGAGGCGGGAGUGGGGAAUAUUGCACAAUGGGCGCAAGCCUGGUGCAGCCAUGCCGCGUGUAUGAAGAAGGCCUUCGGGGUGUAAAGUACUUUCAGCGAGGAGGCGUUACUCGCAGAAGAAGCACCGGCUAACGCCGUGCCAGCAGGCGCGGUAAUAC
rnacentral:rRNA from 1 species